CCUCCUCUUCGUGGUCAUUUGAGCCGGCCGGCUUGCAGCCACGUUAAAUAAGUCGCUAAAGGGCCGGGGUGUGAUGGAA
rnacentral:ncRNA from 1 species